rnacentral:sRNA from 1 species
AAAAGGAGGACUCAUUUGGCAAAAGUUCUAGGGCAGUGGUGAACAAAAUGCAGUCCGUUGGCUUCUGGGUGGGACCCUGGACCUGAUUUCCAGAAUUAAGGAACACCCUUAAUUUAUAUUUGGGAAGUCUCUGGUCCAGAGAAAGUCAGCCUGCACCGCACUUUUUUCCUCUUAGCCACGUGCCCUCCACAGUGCUUCAGCAUGCCACUGACCAGGUGUAGCCCAUGGAAGAGCGCACAGGAGUGGGUUUGCUUGGCAAGCAGUUGUCAACACCAACUGAAGUCAAGUCUGGAAAGUGGAGAAAAUCUCUGCUGGCUUUAGAGAAGGAAGAAGAAGAAGAAAGAAGUAAAACUAUAGAGAGUUUAAAGACAGCACUGAGGACAAAACCAAUGAGGUUUGUAACCAGAUUCAUCGACUUGGAUGGCCUAUCAUGUAUCCUCAACUUUCUAAAGACCAUGGACUACGAGACCUCAGAGUCUCGAAUACAUACUUCUCUCAUUGGCUGUAUAAAGGCGUUAAUGAACAACUCUCAAGGCCGGGCUCAUGUCUUGGCUCAUUCU